CGCCAUUAUAGCUGGCCCAGCACUUUCUCCACACUACCCUGAUGGGGGAGGUGAUGAAGUUAGAGACAUAAUGCAAGCACGGAUGAGUCCAACUGGUGUUCAGCCCUUGAGCUGCGUGUGACACACAGACGCCGUCUCGCGCUGCAGCCCCAAAUAAAGACAUAUGCCGUUGCAUUGUUGUCCUCAGCUCUCCUCCUGCCGUCAGGGUGGGGAAGAUGAAGCGCUUUUCUGCGUCUGGUGUUUAGGAAAAAGCCUUCCAGAGGACAGAGCCCUGGUGAAUGUUUGUAUGAUGUUGUCGUGCUGUAUUAUGAUCAUGGAAGGAUCUGCGGAAAGUGUAUUUGUCUUAACUCAUGCUAUCAGGGAGAUGGGAAUGUGCAUUCAAAGGAUUUUAAAGUGGUUUAAAAGUAUAUCCUCUAACUCUAAAUCUCUGUAUGUGUUUGUGUGACACAGAAGGAAUCUCAAUGAAAAAUGCAUUUAAGUCAACGUAAAUGAUUAUAUCACGCUUAAUAGUUGCUAUACCAAGGUGCAAAUAUGUGUGAAUACGGUCCAAUCAUUUCAAAACGUGAACCAGAUAAAACAGAAGCGGCUCUUUUAAUGUACUCUGUCAGCAUUGUUGAGUUCCCUGCAGGAUGUUAAACAGAGAAUACUUGACAAACAAAGCGGUGCUGUGUCUUAACAGUUAUUGUGGUGAGGGACGGAGCUCGGCUUCGCACGGCGCUCGCUCGGCGGCAGGAAGUGAAACUGUCCGUGUUGAAGGGUCUGCUGAAGGCCGUGAUGUCGUUCAGCUCUAUAUGGCCCGAAGCGAUCAAACAUCCGCACAUUUAUAUGUAGCAUGCGUAAAGCGCUUAACAAUCCUCAGCAUCCUGCCGGUAAUGUUUCAGCCUUGAUGACAAUACGGUUGUAUUGAGAUCAGAAGGUUGAGAUUAAAUCAGAUUUCUCAACAGUAAGUAAUCUCAAUGCAAUUGGAUUCAUCUCAAAUAAAUUGACCUCUUAGUGUCUUUAAGAGAAGAUAUUACCUUUGAUUGAGCUUAACCUACCAACACAUUUAUUAUUUUUAUUAAAGGAUUAUAAAAUGUGUAACAACAAAGGAAAACAUUUUUGAACAUAAAGCAGUUUGUAAGGAGAGGAGUGUUUUUUAAUCCUUCUUAUAGUUACUGGAUUUUAUUACAGCAGCAGGAUUGAUUUAGAACUGGAUCAUCACGGCAAAACCCCAGCUGGUACGAAUGAAACCCUGCAGGCAGAGAACCACCGAUAUGGAAGAUUUACCACAAUUUUUCCCCAACUACAUAUUAUUGCAGCUAUUUGCUUGCUGUUUUAUGAUGAUGAUGUGUAAAAGCAGAUUGACAUUAAAAACAAAAUAAUUUAGUACCUUCAGCAUUUUGUCCCGUUAAGCAGACUGAAUAUAUUUGUAUACUUGCUAUACUUUUUCUAUAAAUUACGGCAGAAGCUUCAUAUGUUAAGAUCUCAGGUGCCUUCUGCUUCCCUCACUGCACAUAGUAAGUCUGUUUUAUGUUCUCUUCUCUUCAGUGGAUCUGAUAUGACCUCUCACUUACAAAUCAUGUUGUUGCUGUCAGACCGUGAAACUGUUUCUUCCUGGACUGCUGUCAGUGGGGUUUUUUCGGCUCUGUUUUACCUCCAGUGUUCAUCACUCCAGGUCACGAGGUCCUCCAAAGGUUCUGCUCCUCAAAGGAGGAGCAACUCUCUGUUGUUGUUAUCAAAGUAUAAACAUAUUGUAUUCCUGACCAACUGACUUGUAGUGAUUUGUACAGAGAUAUUUCUCUGCUGCCUUUGUCGGUAGGAAAAUAAAAACUAUACCCUUUAAAAACCUGAAUUCUCAAUGCAGAUAUUUGCUUUUUUUGGGAGUUGUUUAUCUCACACAAAACAAAAGCAGAAACACCUCCCUUCAUUCCAUCACAUCUUAAAGGCAGCUACACACAAAUAUCUCAACCUCACUG
ensembl:lncRNA